rnacentral:sRNA from 2 species
CCACACACACAACCAUAUCAUGCUAUAUAUAUAUAUAUACAUAUAUCCCACUAAUCUUUAACCGCCAACUACAAAGCGGAGUGUUGCUCGUUUCGCACUCUUCUAUCCUGGGCUACCAGUUCUUCUCUUGAACUACGGAAGCCCAAAAGCUAAUUUUGCGGAGCGGUGGCAUCUGGUGCAAAGCCUGGGAAGCUGUCAUUAAAGCACAAACAGCAAUAUUCAUGACUUAUCAACGAGGAACCCUUGAUCCCUGAGCUGAUCGGAGCCGGUUGGAGUGUGCAACGAUGUUCCUCUGCCCUUGCUGUC